GAAAUGAAGCAUGAUCUGGCUUGCAUCUGGUGCAUGAAGAAAUUGCUGGCACGUUAGUUGCAGUCUACCUCCACCAACAGGGUGGAAAACAAAGGUCGCCAUUCCGAUUAGCUGCUAUCUCCCAGUUCAAGCACUUUUGCUGUCUGGACACUGGUUCCUGUGGAUGGGCUGUUACAAGCUUCACUGUCUGAUAUAGAAGUGAUGAGCAUCCAUAAGGACACAUGGCAGAAAGGGAGUCUCUUUGAGAUGACAAACCCUCAUCACCUCAUGAGGAUACAAUGGUUGACGAAUGGUUCUCAAGUACAUCGAAACUUCAACAAAUAAUUCAUGAAAAAGCCAGUCAGUGCUAGCACCAGGAAUUGAACGUGGACCGUCCUGCUACCAGUCAGAGAUGUUACAUUUCAGGUGCUCAUUGACUUUUGGUGAAUUACUUGUUGACUUUGUCCCAAGGUGGAGCUCGCCACAGCUCAUUUGUCUAUCUGUUAAUGUUGUGGCGUGUGUUGCGUUUUUCUCUUUGUGUGUUCCAGACUCAGAACGGUAAAUUUGGAUCAGGUCAGGUACGUUUCAUUUAGACAUGGCAAACAUAAAGUGGUGUUUCUCAACACAACUUAGCAGUGGCCUUCAUGCAUUACUGCCACGGCCAUUAAGCGUGAAUGGAAGGCUGCACAUUAUGCAUGAUGUAAAACCCCAAGACUAGGAACAUGAAGGGACAAACACAAACACGUCCCUUUUUGUUCCCUAGUCACGGGGUUUUACAUAUGCAUCAUCUUCACCAGCUCACUUGCUUCCUAGCCAUUUUUUCUGCCACAUUAUGUUCACUCUACUUCUAUCGUGUGCUAUGUAAUCUUGUUCAAGUUCUGUCAAACGACGUGUAAUGCUAUAAAAACAUUCAGUACACUGUUUAUGUGGGUUGAAUGGUAGCGCAUAAAUGCAGAAAGGGAACUGUCAUGUUAUGGAAAGUGUUUACGUAUUGUACAUUUAACUACUAAUUUUAUUGGUUAGCUUUCGCCGGCAUAUGAUGUCAAGCCAUGUUAUAUUAAUUUGGAACAUGUUCUU